rnacentral:tRNA from 1 species
GGACUGUAUGGCUGAAAGGUUAAGGCAUGGGUAAACUCGAGUAAAUCCUAUAUGGCAGGUUCGACUCCUGCACAGUCCA